AUUGAACGCUGGCGGCAUGCCUUACACAUGCAAGUCGAACGGUAGAGGGGGCAACCCCUCGAGAGUGGCGAACGGGUGAGUAAAGCAUCGGAACGUGCCCAGUAGUGGGGGAUAGCCCGGCGAAAGCCGGAUUAAUACCGCAUGAGACCUACGGGUGAAAGGGGGGGAUCGCAAGACCUCUCGCUAUUGGAGCGGCCGAUGUCAGAUUAGGUAGUUGGUGGGGUAAAGGCCUACCAAGCCGACGAUCUGUAGCUGGUCUGAGAGGACGACCAGCCACACUGGGACUGAGACACGGCCCAGACUCCUACGGGAGGCAGCAGUGGGGAAUUUUGGACAAUGGCGAAAGCCUGAUCCAGCCAUGCCGCGUGCGGGAAGAAGGCCUUCGGGUUGUAAACCGCUUUUGUCAGGGAAGAAAUCCUUUGAGUUAAUACCUCGGGGGGAUGACGGUACCUGAAGAAUAAGCACCGGCUAACUACGUGCCAGCAGCCGCGGUAA
rnacentral:rRNA from 1 species